UACGAAGGGGGCUAGCGUUGCUCGGAAUCACUGGGCGUAAAGCGCACGUAGGCGGGUUGCUAAGUCGGGGGUGAAAUCCUGGAGCUCAACUCCAGAACUGCCUUCGAUACUGGCGACCUUGAGUCCGGGAGAGGUGAGUGGAACUCCGAGUGUAGAGGUGAAAUGCGCAGAUAUCAGGAAGAACACCCGUGGCGAAAGCGGUUCUCUGGGACGGUACUGACGCUGAGACGCGAAAGCGUGGGGAGCGAACAGG
rnacentral:rRNA from 1 species